UCGUGAUCCACCCACCUCAGCCUCCCAAAGUGCUGGGAUUACAGAUACAUCAUUACUCUUGUGUAAUGUUCCGGGAAUGUAUCUAAGAAGCUCCAGUUUCCCCAGUCUCCCCAGCACUGAAGCUUUAACCCAGAAGUAUACUGUAAGAUGUUCUUUAAAAAUAUUUUUUGUUUGAUUUCAUGAAUAAAUCUCCUUGUACAUUGUUCA